rnacentral:tRNA from 1 species
GACAAGAUGGCCGAGUGGUUAAGGCGGUGGCCUGCUAUCAGCACGACGAUUUAAGUCGGCAAGCCAUUGGGUUCUGCCCGCGUGAGUUCGAAUCUCAUUCUUGUCG